GAUGAACGCUAGCUACAGGCUUAACACAUGCAAGUCGAGGGGUAACGAGAGGAAAGCUUGCUUUCCUUGUCGACGACCGGCGCACGGGUGAGUAACGCGUAUCCAACCUGCCCCCAACUAAGGAAUAACUUUGCGAAAGUAAGACUAAUACCUUAUAAUUUCCUCAGAUGUCAUCUGACGAGGAAUAAAGAUUUAUCGGUUGUGGUUGGGGAUGCGUCUGAUUAGCUUGUUGGCGGGGUAACGGCCCACCAAGGCAACGAUCAGUAGGGGUUCUGAGAGGAAGGUCCCCCACAUUGGAACUGAGACACGGUCCAAACUCCUACGGGAGGCAGCAGUGAGGAAUAUUGGUCAAUGGGCGGAAGCCUGAACCAGCCAAGUAGCGUGCAGGAUGACGGCCCUAUGGGUUGUAAACUGCUUUUAUACAGGAAUAAAGUUAGCCACGUGUGGUUAUUUGUAGGUACUGUAUGAAUAAGGACCGGCUAAUUCCGUGCCAGCAGCCGCGGUAA
rnacentral:rRNA from 1 species